rnacentral:rRNA from 1 species
AAUAUUGGACAAUGGGGGCAACCCUGAUCCAGCCAUGCCGCGUGUGUGAAGAAGGUCUUCGGAUUGUAAAGCACUUUAAGUUGGGAGGAAGGGCUUUAGGUUAAUACCCUGAAGUUUUGACGUUACCAACAGAAUAAGAACCGGCUAACACCUUGCAACCAGCCGCGGUAAUACAGAGGGUGCAAGCGUUAAUCGGAAUUACUGGGCGUAAAGCGCGCGUAGGUGGUUCAGUAAGAUGGGUGUGAAAUCCCCGGGCUUAACCUGGGAACUGCUUUCAUAACUGCUGAGCUAGAGUACAGUAGAGGGUAGUGGAAUUUCCUGUGUAGCGGUGAAAUGCGUAGAUAUAGGAAGGAACACCAGUGGCGAAGGCGACUACCUGGACUGAUACUGACACUGAGGUGCGAAAGCGUGGGGAUCAAACA